GAUGCCCCACACCAUUUGCGGAAGCAUGAAUGGGCUCCCUAUCGAGAAGGUAGCAUCCUAAAGAACACCCCUAUCAUUUGCAUGUGUUACGACUUGCACACUAGCAGAAGAUCAAAGAACUAAAAGGACCUUGCCCUCAGUCACUUAUUAACACCCCUAUCAUUUGCAUGUGUGUUGCGACUUGCACACUAGCAGAAGAUCAAAGAACUAAAAGGACCUUGGGCUCAGUCACUUAUUAAUUGUUAAUUUUCUUCUUUGCUAAACUCUCCUAUAAUGAAUGUGUUUCAGUAUUAUGCUUACAAGCACAUUCUCCAUUCCAUAUCUUUCAACAACUUCGAAAUGUUGAUAGAAGAGAAUAGCAAAAUAAAUCUUAUAUGUAAAUGUUGCUCUCCAUUUAAAAGCUAUCUUGAUUUCCGUUUCCUAGUAUCCUCCAUUGGGAGGUCUGGCGCACAUAGUUUUGGCCCCUUGGAUCAGCAAGGGUGGGAUUGAGAUGGUAUUUGAUACAAGUGUGUUUUGUUUUUAAAUUUUUAAGUUGCUCUUCC
rnacentral:lncRNA from 1 species